AUACCCUAAAGCAAUGAGUGGGGAAGACAAUGAGGAGUAAAAAUGGUAGAGAACCGGACGCGAGAAAAAAACUUACCUGGACUGGACGGAGUCAACUCAGGAUCAAGAAAACGAGUGGCCUAGGCUAGUGACUUGCUUAGCCUAAGAUCUUCCCAAGUGGAAGAGCCUAUGUACGUCAUUGUUUGUGGAAGAUGGGGUUUGGGUUCGCGCAGCCCCUAUCAUCUAUAUCAGUCAUAAUAAUUACAUAUGUUCCAUAAUAAGAUAAGUUUGGUGGUGUUGUCUAAAUAAGUGUGGAGAGUAACAGUUUCCUGAUUUAUUAGUUUGGUACCAGUGGUCCUACAUCGGAAAUAGAUACCAAGUUUGUAACGAUGUAUGUUUAUUACUUUGUUAUGUUUUGAUAUGUUUUGUUUGGCCGUAUAAAUAAAGAGGCUAACCUUCCUUGAAACUCAUCUUUGCGCUUGGGGCAAUGACAUAGCUAAUGAGGUUUUAAACGAGACGCGUCUAUUGAUGGUUGACAACCAUUUCCACAACCCCAUCCUAGGCCUAAGCUUGUCUUUGGCCUUUGAGAAUUUCGAGACCAACACUAGAGAAACUAGGCAUUGAUAUAUGGUUAGAUACGUGGCAAUACAUGAGUGGAGACAGUAGCUGUGAGACGUGGCAAGAGAAGAUUGGUCGAUGGGAGUGUUAGAGGAAGAAUCGAGAUGCAGAGAUAUAUAGCUAAUGAAGAUCAUUUGCAGAAGAUAAGAAGAUUUUGGAUUUGUUGUUUAUAGUUUCCUUUUGGAUUCUCUCUUAGAAUCGUUCCUCAUCGUUCGCCGGAGUUUCAUGUUGAACUCUUGUAGAUGAGAAGUUGAUAUCGCGUUUCAUGAACGUUGUAUCAAUCUGUCAUUUUCAUUAAUCGAAGCAUUCUAUUUCGUUACUCUGUUUUCCGUUAUCACUUUUGAUUAAAACCAGAAUCCACUUGACUUAUCUCAUGAAGUUGCUUAAUGAUCAUUCCUCUCUGAGAUUAUAUUGUUCAUUUUGUGGUAGACGUGGCAG
rnacentral:sRNA from 1 species